rfam:Glossina morsitans morsitans, isolate Yale, WGS project CCAG01000000 data, contig: ctg10001670
AGGUAUCGACAUCGGAAGUGUGCUAACAACAACCAGCCUCCACGAAGUAGUAAGUGAAAGUGGUCGAAGAAGCGUUUGGGGGGUAGUUUUUAGUACGUAAGCGCCAUGGAUGGCGAAUCGUGCAUACUGCAGUAGCUUUUGAAGAUUUUCUACCUUCAGCUC